rnacentral:tRNA from 1 species
GAUUGUGGCUCAGUGGCAGAGCACUUGCUUAGCAUGUGUGAGGCACUGGGUUCAAUUCUCAGUACCG